CAGCAGCCACGGUAAUACGGAGGGUGCAAGCGUUAUCCGGAUUCACUGGGUUUAAAGGGUGCGUAGGUGGGCAGGUAAGUCAGUGGUGAAAUCUCCGGGCUUAACCCGGAAACUGCCGUAGAUACUAUCUGUCUUGAAUGUAGUGGAGGUGAGCGGAAUAUGUCAUGUAGCGGUGAAAUGCUUAGAUAUGACAUAGAACACCCAUUGCGAAGGCAGCUCGCUACACUAUUAUUGACACUGAGGCACGAAAGCGUGGGGAUCAAACAGGAUUAGAUACCCCCGUAGUCCCUGUCUCUUAUAC
rnacentral:rRNA from 1 species